rnacentral:miRNA from 1 species
GCGGUGAGCACGGAAGCCU